rfam:Myotis lucifugus cont2.21936, whole genome shotgun sequence.
GGCGGUUCUCGGGUGACGCACCCUGGAAUCGGGCUCCCUCCUCUCUGGUUCUGGGGUGCAUAACCCGAGAACUGCU